AGAGUUUGAUCAUGGCUCAGGACGAACGCUGGCGGCGUGCCUAACACAUGCAAGUCGAGCGGGGAGAGAUUUUCGGAUUUCUCUUUAGCGGCGGACGGGUGAGUAACACGUGGGUAACCUGCCUCAAAGAGGGGGAUAGCCUUCCGAAAGGAAGAUUAAUACCGCAUAAUAUCAGGAAGCUGCAUGGCAUUCUGAUCAAAGGAGCAAUCCGCUUUGAGAUGGACCCGCGGCGCAUUAGCUAGUUGGUGAGGUAACGCCCCACCAAGGCGACGAUGCGUAGCCGACCUGAGAGGGUGAUCGGCCACAUUGGAACUGAGACACGGUCCAGACUCCUACGGGAGGCAGCAGUGGGGAAUAUUGCACAAUGGGGGAAACCCUGAUGCAGCAACGCCGCGUGAGUGAUGAAGGCCUUCGGGUCGUAAAGCUCUUUGAUCAGGGACGAUAAUGACGGUACCUGAAAAACAAGCCACGGCUAACUACGUGCCAGCAGCCGCGGUAAUACGUAGGUGGCGAGCGUUGUCCGGAUUUACUGGGCGUAAAGAAUGCGUAGGUGGAUAUUUAAGUGGGAUGUGAAAUCCCCGGGCUCAACCCGGGAACUGCAUACCAAACUGGAUAUCUGGAGUGCAGGAGAGGAAA
rnacentral:rRNA from 1 species